rnacentral:rRNA from 1 species
GACGAACGCUGGCGGCGUGCUUAACACAUGCAAGUCGAACGGAAAGGCCCUGCUUUUGUGGUGUGCUCGAGUGACGAACGGGUGAGUAACACGUGUGUAACCUGCCCUUGACUUUGGGAUCACUUCAGGAAACUUGGGCUAAUACCGGAUAUGAGCUCCUGCUCCAUGGUGUGGGGUGUAAAGUUUCGGCGGUUGGGGUUGGACUCGCGGCUUAUCUGCCUGCUGAUGGGGUAGUGGCUUACCAAGGCUCUGACGGGUAGCCGGCCUGAGAGGGUGACCGGCCACAUUGGGACUGAGAUACGGCCCAGACUCCUACGGGAGGCAGCAGUGGGGAAUAUUGCACAAUGGGCGGAAGCCUGAUGCAGCAACGCCGCGUGCGGGAUGACGGCCUUCGGGUUGUAAACCGCUUGCGCCUGUGACGAAGCGUGAGUGACGGUAAUGGGUAAAGAAGCACCGGCUAACUACGUG